CCAACGGCCCUCAUUAGGGCCACAGUUUGUAAAUCAAAUGUUAUAU
rfam:Enterobius vermicularis genome assembly, scaffold: EVEC_scaffold0001072